GGGUACAGAAAGAAGAAUUUUAAUGCAUUAUGAAAUUCAGUGAAUAUAUAUGAACAAAAUGGAGAAACAAGCUACAUUGAUUCUGAUGAUGCUGAUUAUUCUAGAACUUCACAAGUGACCUCACAACUCCUUAAUGCACAGUCUGAAGGUCCUGUCAACAGGAAGAAUAGACCAGCUCCUGCCUCUAUGCUUAUGACAAAGCUGUAGCUCACCUGGAGGCC
rnacentral:lncRNA from 1 species